rnacentral:rRNA from 1 species
GACGAACGCUGGCGGCGUGCCUAAUACAUGCAAGUAGAACGCUGAAGGAGGAGCUUGCUCUUCUGGAUGAGUUGCGAACGGGUGAGUAACGCGUAGGUAACCUGCCUGGUAGCGGGGGAUAACUAUUGGAAACGAUAGCUAAUACCGCAUAAGAGUAGAUGUUGCAUGACAUUUACUUAAAAGGUGCACUUGCAUCACUACCAGAUGGACCUGCGUUGUAUUAGCUAGUUGGUGGGGUAACGGCUUACCAAGGCGACGAUACAUAGCCGACCUGAGAGGGUGAUCGGCCACACUGGGACUGGGACACGGCCCAGAAUCCUACGGGAGGCAGCAGUAGGGGAUCUUCGGCGAUGGACGGAAGUCUGACCGAGCAACGCCGCGUGAGUGAAGAAGGUUUUCGGAUCGUAAAGCUCUGUUGUAAGAGAAGAACGAGUGUGAGAGUGGAAAGUGCACACUGUGACGGUAUCUUACCAGAAAGGGACGGCUAACUACGUG